GACGAACGCUGGCGGCGUGCCUAAUACAUGCAAGUUGAGCGCUGAAGGUUGGUACUUGUACCAACUGGAUGAGCAGCGAACGGGUGAGUAACGCGUGGGGAAUCUGCCUUUGAGCGGGGGACAACAUUUGGAAACGAAUGCUAAUACCGCAUAAAAACUUUAAACACAAGUUUUAAGUUUGAAAGAUGCAAUUGCAUCACUCAAAGAUGAUCCCGCGUUGUAUUAGCUAGUUGGUGAGGUAAAGGCUCACCAAGGCGAUGAUACAUAGCCGACCUGAGAGGGUGAUCGGCCAAAUUGGGACUGAGACACGGCCCAAACGCCUACGGGAGGCAGCAGUAGGGAAUCUUCGGCAAUGGACGAAAGUCUGACCGAGCAACGCCGCGUGAGUGAAGAAGGGUUUCGGAUCGUAAAACUCUGUUGGUAGAGAAGAACGUUGGUGAGAGUGGAAAGCUCAUCAAGUGACGGUAACUACACAGAAAGGGACGGCUAACUACGUG
rnacentral:rRNA from 1 species